rnacentral:rRNA from 1 species
GAUUAACGCUAGCGGCAGGCAUAAUACAUGCAAGUUGAACGAGAUUAGUUUUAGCAAUAGAACUAGUUUAGUGGCGCACGGGUGCGUAACGCGUAUGCAACCUACCUUAAACAGGGGAAUAGCCUCUCGAAAGAGAGAUUAAUACCGCAUAAUAUAUAUUUAAUGCAUAUUAGAUAUAUUAAACCUACGGGGGGUUUUAAGAUGGGCAUGCGUGACAUUAGCUAGUUGGUGAGGUAACGGCUCACCAAGGCAACGAUGUCUAGGGGGUCUGAGAGGAUGUCCCCCACACUGGUACUGAGACACGGACCAGACUCCUACGGGAGGCAGCAGUAGGGAAUAUUGGUCAAUGGGGGCAACCCUGAACCAGCCAUGCCGCGUGCAGGAAUAAGGCCCUAUGGGUCGUAAACUGCUUUUG